rnacentral:rRNA from 1 species
GAUGAACGCUGGCGGCGUGCCUAAUACAUGCAAGUCGAGCGAACAGACGAGGAGCUUGCUCCUCUGACGUUAGCGGCGGACGGGUGAGUAACACGUGGGUAACCUACCUAUAAGACUGGGAUAACUUCGGGAAACCGGAGCUAAUACCGGAUAAUAUAUUGAACCGCAUGGUUCAAUAGUGAAAGACGGUUUUGCUGUCACCUAUAGAUGGAUCCGCGCCGCAUUAGCUAGUUGGUAAGGUAACGGCUUACCAAGGCAACGAUGCGUAGCCGACCUGAGAGGGUGAUCGGCCACACUGGAACUGAGACACGGUCCAGACUCCUACGGGAGGCAGCAGUAGGGAAUCUUCCGCAAUGGGCGAAAGCCUGACGGAGCAACGCCGCGUGAGUGAUGAAGGUCUUCGGAUCGUAAAACUCUGUUAUUAGGGAAGAACAAAUGUGUAAGUAACUAUGCACGUCUGGACGGUACCUAAUCAGAAAGCCACGGCUAACUACGU